rnacentral:snRNA from 1 species
CACACGGAAUCGAGAGCUC